CCUCCCUUCUUAGCACGCUUGUUUGUUUUGGUGUGUAUGUAAUGGAGGAAUACUGUAUUACAGUCCUGUGCGAUGUCUUCAGUGCCGAAAUGUCAACAGUCUUCUGGUUCUAUCGUCAAUCACUUGUGCAUUC